CGAGUUGGCCGGGCGGCCGCGGCACGGAGAACUGACGACCGGCGUCGUCAAGCUUCGAGCCGAGGAAAGUCCGGACUCCACAGAGCAGGGCGGUUGCCAACAGCAACCCGAGGCGACUCGCGGGACAGUGCCACAGAGAAGAGACCGCCGACCGGUCCUCGGAUCGGUCGGUCAGGGUGAAACGGUGCGGUAAGAGCGCACCAGCACCCCGGGUGACCGGGGUGGCUCGGUAAACCCCGCCCGGAGCAAGAUCGAAGGUCGCACCGCCGUUCGCGGUGGUGCGUCUGCGCAGGUGUUCGAGGGCUGCUCGCCCGAGCCUGCGGGUUGAUCGCUCGAGGUACCCGGCGACGGUGUGCCCAGAUGGAUGGUCGCCACCCGGGAUUCGUUCCGGGGACAGGAUCCGGCUUACACGCCGACUCGUCCG
rnacentral:RNase_P_RNA from 2 species